UGGGGAUAUUGCACAAUGGGGGAAACCCUGAUGCAGCGACGCCGCGUGAGGGAAGAAGGCUUUCGGGUCGUAAACCUCUGUCGGGAAGGAAGAACCCCCCAGGUCCGAAUAGGGCCUGGGGCUGACGGUACUUCCAAAGGAAGCACCGGCUAACUCCGUGCCAGCAGCCGCGGUAAUACGGAGGGUGCAAGCGUUAAUCGGAAUCACUGGGCGUAAAGCGCGCGUAGGCGGCUUUUUAAGUCGGACGUGAAAGCCCUCGGCUCAACCGGGGAAUUGCGUUCGAAACUGGGAGGCUUGAGUCCUGGAGAGGUGAGUGGAAUUUCCAGUGUAGAGGUGAAAUUCGUAGAUAUUGGAAAGAACACCAGUGGCGAAGGCGGCUCACUGGCUCGGUACUGACGCUGAGGUGCGACAGCGUGGGGAGCAAACA
rnacentral:rRNA from 1 species